rnacentral:rRNA from 1 species
GACGAACGCUGGCGGCGUGCUUAACACAUGCAAGUCGAACGGAAAGGCCCUGCUUUUGUGGGGUGCUCGAGUGGCGAACGGGUGAGUAACACGUGAGUAACCUGCCCUUGACUUUGGGAUAACUUCAGGAAACUGGGGCUACUACCGGAUAGGAGCUCCUGCUGCAUGGAGGGGGUUGGAAAGUUUCGGCGGUUGGGGAUGGACUCGCGGCUUAUCAGCUUGUUGGUGGGGUAGUGGCUUACCAAGGCUUUGACGGGUAGCCGGCCUGAGAGGGUGACCGGCCUCAUUGGGACUGAGAGACGGACCAGACUCCUACGGGAGGCAGCAGUGGGGAAUCUUGCACAAUGGGCGGAAGCCUGAUGCAGCAACGCCGCGUGCGGGAUGACGGCCUUCGGGUUGUAAACCGCUUUCGCCUGUGACGAAGCGUGAGUGACGGUAAUGGGUAAAGAAGCACCGGCUAACUACGUG